AGGUGUGCCAACAGCUGGGAGCUCUAGGGGUUUCUGGGGGCUGCUGCUGGACAGGCUGCAGGUCUGGUGCCAACAGUGGGUGUGGUCUGUGAGGCUGAAUUGUACCAGCAGGAGGGGAGGAGCAGGAUCAGGCCACCCGGGCUGUUCAUCUGAGUGUUGUGUGCAUGCAGCUGGAACUGAGCACGGAGGGAAGUGCCAGGGUUUCCCCUCUGCAAAGCUUCUCUGCCUCCUGGACGUUGGCCCGUGGCUCCCUCCCGGCAGCACUCCUCACUCUCUUCACCCAAGGCCGUGUGUCCCAUCACCCCUGGGAGCUCCAGGGGCUUCUCACUCUGCUUCACGCAGCCCGCCAACGCCUUCUGCCUCUUCCUACAGGGGAACGGCACCACCUAGUGCUGCUUGCCUGCUGCAGCUCGCGAGGGUUCGUGCUGACAGCAGCUGGGCUAGGGCAGACCAGCACGGGCACAAGAAUCUUAGAUGUGGAUUUAUUGAAGGCGUGGUCACGGGUGACCCACAGGGAAAAUGGUAAACAGGGACAACACCACCACUUGUCUCACAUUGAUGCCAACUGUCUUUAUGCUGAAUUGAUGAAACAGCUGAAAGAAGAGCAUCUAAUUGAGCCCUGAGUGCAGCUGCCAGAUUGCUCACCACGGCUGUUUCCAGCAUAAUUGAUAUAGGCAAUCAUUGUUUAAUGAACUUCACGUACGAAUUUCAGUGGAUGAAAACUCUCGAUAUGGAAGCACAGGAGGCAGACAGGAGGGCGCUUGCUUUCAUCUGGCGAGGGCUCCGGCGUGUAUUUACUCGUGUCUCACAAGGCUUAUCCCAACCUACCUCUCUGUCCACGCUGCGUCGGCCGAAGAGCUGGAAACAUUAAUAUUACCACCAGAGGUCACUGUGGGGCAACGCAUCAGUGGUGCCUUCAGAGGCGGCCGAUAGGCAGAACGUGUGAACCGGGCUGUGAGCACUUGUCAUUACACUCCUGCGGUUCGGUAAAACCGGUAAGAAACAAAACAAAACCACCAAAACCAAACAACCGAGGAUUCAGUGAGGAAUUAAUCUUCUGGGGAGACAGUGGCAGGUGGGAGAAGAACUGUCCCUGCUGAGGUACUACCCGAUGGUUACACGUGCUUCAGAAUAAGAGGAGCUAUGCACUGUGCUGGAGACUUUAGGAUCUUGGAGAGUAUCUGUUCCAGGAAUUAUUAUAAUAGGUUGGCCAUCCUAUAACUUACUAUAGAAAACAAGAGCCUGAAUCCUGCAGCAUCACUGGGAGAAAUCAAUGAGUGAUAGAAGCAUGUGGUUCCCUGCUGCAGUAUACAGUGGUGUCCAUCUUCCCUCCUCUAGGGAGGCUUGCACCUUGCUCAGCCUGGGGUGCUAUGAAGAGUCUGUUCAGGCUUCUCUGACCCUUGAUCUAUUACUCUGUACAGUAUAUAUGUCCUGUGCACAUAUGUUUGUGAGGGGGGCCUCUACUAGGAAUACAAUGUCCUGGCUGGAACAGGGAACACAGAGAUGUGGCAGUGUUGCCUCCAUCAGACAACUGACUUCAGCACCAUGACAAUUUGGACUGCAGGGUGGCAGAACCCCAAGGUACAAAACAUGACCGGGUGGAGGCAGCUGCCUUUGAGUCAGUGCAGCACAAGUCUGCAGGAGAAAGCCCACCCAGCAGCAACAGACUUGAUCUUCUGAAAGGUACGCAGGUGGAGCAUCCAUUUCUCAUGAGGAAGAAAUACUGAAUAAAGAACUAGAGCUCCAGCAGUGAAGAAUAGCGAAACACGCUGCCUUUACAGUCUGCAGCAAGUUAUGCCACUGUAGAAAUUAAACCAAGACACGUUGUUGAUUUCUGAAGUGCCAAAAGAAGGACAAGGUCAGAGCUGGUCUCUGAAUACAUCAUCCCAAUGGCAUUUCAAUGGAAAUGCAAAUUUAGGAAUUUGGGAUUAGGAACAAAUAAUUUCAGAAAAUAGACACAGACCCAGAAGAAUUAAAGGAAAGGAGUUGGGCAGAUCCCGUAUGUUGUAGACCAAUACACAGAUCAGCAAGCACACACAGAGAAAGAAGAAUAUUACCUGUCAGUGGAAGGUGAGAAAACAAACAUGGGAGGAUGAUAUUUGCCAAGAAGGUAGAUCUUGUGAUAGUCCACAGAAUCAGAACUCAGUGGCUCUGGAGGCCUUAAAUGUAAGUAGCUUUUUAAGAAGUAAUAACUUUCUCCUUCCAGAGUGAUAUUUGGGUACCUACAACUCAUCUCCCCCACUGUUAUUUUAAACUAGUGAAAUGGAGGUUAGAGCCAGCAUUGCUUAUCAGUUUAAUCAUCAGGCCAUAGAUUUCUGUUCCUUCUUCUUACUGGCUUUUAUUGUCACUUAACACUUUGUUUCUUUCUGGUAACACUACCCUUUGCUUUAAUAAUCUCUCCCUUUAUCCUGGCCUCCAGCCUGUACUUUAACAUGGUUAUUCUGGGAGGUAAAAUAUGUAAUUUCCAAUGUUCUUAACUAUAGAAAAUGCUUGCCUUGCAAGGAUGUAUGGGAUUUGAUAUACAAAUAGACUUCCCCUCUAGCAAAGCUUACUAGAUAUCCAAAAGGGCAUGAAUGUUGCUUUCCAUCAUAGAGUGCCUCAUUCCCAAAGCUCUUUGUGCUUCAAUGAAAUCUGAAUUGGAAAAAGAUGAUAGGUAUAAUAUCUCCCUGGGCGAUUUACUGCACUUGCUUAAAUCAGAAGACCUUCCUAAUCUCUGUCUCUGAGAAAUGCUUGGGAAAAUAGGAUGUUCUUACAAGAGCAAGCUGUUAAUAAAGCCUUUUCCUGUUAGAUGUGCUAAGUAUCCUUGUAGCAUUUGAAGAGAUGCUGGUCCUAGAGAACAACCGGCAAGGCUGUGGUGGAGCCAGCAGCUUUAUCCACAAGGUUUAAAUCAGGGGUGCUAACAUCUGCUCUUUCAAAGACUUCACCUUUUUUGCCAUUGUCACUAAAAAACAAUGCCUUGAGUGCUGAUUAUAGCUGUCUGUGUGCUCCAUGCUAAGGCACAACUGUUUCAGGAUGUGGAAGAUCUCUUUGACCACUUCAUUAUGAAGGAAAAUACAGACAAAGGCAGAAAUACACAUUCGUUUUAGUGCUGCAAUGCUUGAAAUACUUGUUUGGUGUCAUUCCAGCUGAACAGGCUGUAUCCUGUGCCUGCACUCCCCACCACAGUUGUUACACAGACUUUUUGUAGCCUUCCCCUUUCUUCAGCAGCUCCUUUGCAGCCUCAUGCUGGUGAGAAGCUUUGGCUCUGUUUCCCUUUCUGUCCUAACCCUACACCUUGGUUGCAAGUUGAGCCUCAUCCAAAAUGCCCAGUCCUGGCUCAAGGUUCAGACUGUGGCCCCUCAUUCACUUUUAGAGGACUUCUUCCAGAUUGUGGCUUUUCUGCAUCAGAAUUUCAGUCUAAGCUAGCACUGAGCUUGUGGGCUGUUGGACAGGUCUAGGGUGGCUGGCUGCAGCACAAGCCUUUGCCACAAAUGUCCCUGUCAGCUGGAGAGAGACAGUGUCAUUCCUGGACCUAAGCCUCUCUUCAGCAGGUGUUCAGCUUGCUCUGGUUACUCCCUAGAGCCUUUGUGAGUUUGAGUAGCUGGAGCAACUCACUUGUGUAAUCCUAGCACGUUUCCUCUUGCAGGCUGACACCAAGAAAUGCCCCCCUGUUUAUCCCACUGAACAUUGAAGAAUAAUUUUGCCACUCAGCUGGUAAGUUUUAAAGACAAACUGAAGAACUGCCUUAUACACUGCUCGCAAGCUGGUGCUUCUGCAAAACUGCCUGCUUUGUUUCAGUCAGAGCAAUCCAUAGCCCUCAGUGCUAUCCCAGUGACAGCUUAAUGCCUAGAGUGUCACUCCUGCAAAUGACCUCUCCCCCUUACGAUGAGUAGCUGAGAUGUCAGUGCUAAGAGCCAGUGGUACUGUAACCCUAUUACUUGGUCCUCAGAGCCACAUUUGAUUGUGUUCUUUGGCAGCAACAGGAAAUAAAUGCACUCAUUUCGGUGUCACCACUGAGGUAUAGCAGCACAACUAAGUUACAUGCCAGAGCAAAUAAAUCCACUUGGCAGCAGCAGCUGCACUUGU
ensembl:lncRNA